CGCGUAGGCGGCCGCCUAAGUCAGACGUGAAAUCCCUCGGCUCAACCGGGGAACUGCGUCUGAUACUGGGCGGCUUGAAUUCGGGAGAGGAAUGCGGAAUUCCAGGUGUAGCGGUGAAAUGCGUAGAUAUCUGGAGGAACACCGGUGGCGAAGGCGGCAUUCUGGACCGACAUUGACGCUGAGGCGCGAAAGCCAGGGAGCAAACG
rnacentral:rRNA from 1 species